GGUCACGGUGACCCGAAAUAGUAAAAUGGUUUCCGGAUGAUAACUCAAGAACGCAUAUGCCUAAGAUCAUGAAACUUCAUGGGUAGAUUGAUCAUGACUCGCAGAUGACCCCUAUUGAUUUUGAGGUCACUAGGUCAAGGUCACGGUGACCCGAAAAAGUAAAAUGAUUUUCGGAUGAUAAUUCAAGAACGCAUAUGCCUAGGAUCAUGAAACUUUAUAGGUAGAUUGAUCAUGACUCGCAGAUGACCCCUAUUGAUUUUCAGGUCACUAGGUCAAAGGUCAAGGUCACGGUGACCCGAAAUAGUAAAAUGAUUUUCGGAUGAUAACUCAAGAACGCUUUUGCCUAGGAUCAUGACACUUCAUAGGUACAUUGAUCGUGACUUGCAGAUGACCCCUAUUGAUUUUCAGGUCACUAGGUCAAAGGUCAAGGUCACAGUGACAAAAGUCGUAUUCACACAAUGGCUGCCAGUACAACAGACAGCCCAUAUGGGGGGCAUGCAUGUUUUACAAACAGCCCUUGUAUUAAAUUAGUUUUUCCC